rnacentral:lncRNA from 1 species
AAACUCAAAAUUUAACACAAGAAAGCUUUCUGCUAAUGUACCUACAUUACACUUAACUGUUGCAAUAUUAUUACAGCAGGCAAAAUUUGCACAGCCCUUGUUUUGCAAAGAAAUAACACAACAUUUGACUCUGUGAUCUUGAACUUUAUGAAUUACAUAGAUCCCAAUAUUUUUGUUACUUUUUUUUAAUUUCCUUCCUCACAACACCAGUAAUAGAAAGAAA